rnacentral:rRNA from 1 species
AACCGACGAUACCCGAAUGGGGAAACCCAGUGUGUUUCGACACACUAUCCUGUCAUGAAUACAUAGUGGCAGGAGGCGAACCGGGGGAACUGAAACAUCUAAGUACCCCGAGGAAAAGAAAUCAACCGAGAUUCCCCUAGUAGCGGCGAGCGAACGGGGAACAGCCCAGAACCUGAAUCGGCUUGUGUGUCAGUGGAAGCGUCUGGAAAGUCGCACAGUAAAGGGUGAUAGUCCCGUACACGAAGAUGCACAGGUCGUGAGUUCGAUGAGUAGGGCGGGACACGUGUUAUCCUGUCUGAAUAUGGGGGGACCAUCCUCCAAGGCUAAAUACUCCUGACUGACCGAUAGUGAACCAGUACCGUGAGGGAAAGGCGAAAAGAACCCCGGCGAGGGGAGUGAAAUAGAACCUGAAACCGUGUACGUACAAGCAGUGGGAGCACCUUCGGGUGUGACUGCGUACCUUUUGUAUAAUGGGUCAGCGACUUAUAUUUUGUAGCAAGGUUAACCGAAUAGGGGAGCCGUAGGGAAACCGAGUCUUAACUGGGCGUCUAGUUGCAAGGUAUAGACCCGAAACCCGGUGAUCUAGCCAUGGGCAGGUUGAAGGUUGGGUAACACUAACUGGAGGACCGAACCGACUAAUGUUGAAAAAUUAGCGGAUGACUUGUGGCUGGGGGUGAAAGGCCAAUCAAACCGGGAGAUAGCUGGUUCUCCCCGAAAGCUAUUUAGGUAGCGCCUCGUGAACUCAUCUUCGGGGGUAGAGCACUGUUUCGGCUAGGGGGCCAUCCCGGCUUACCAAACCGAUGCAAACUCCGAAUACCGAAGAAUGUUAUCACGGGAGACACACGGCGGGUGCUAACGUCCGUCGUGAAGAGGGAAACAACCCAGACCGCCAGCUAAGGUCCCAAAGUCAUGGUUAAGUGGGAAACGAUGUGGGAAGGCACAGACAGCCAGGAUGUUGGCUUAGAAGCAGCCAUCAUUUAAAGAAAGCGUAAUAGCUCACUGGUCGAGUCGGCCUGCGCGGAAGAUGUAACGGGGCUAAACCAUGCACCGAAGCUGCGGCAGCGACGC